rnacentral:rRNA from 1 species
CCUUUAUGGAGAGUUUGAUCCUGGCUCAGGACGAACGCUGGCGGCGUGCCUAAUACAUGCAAGUCGAGCGGAUCUCUGAUGGAGCUUGCUCCUGAAGAGAUUAGCGGCGGACGGGUGAGUAACACGUAGGCAACCUGCCCUGAAGACCGGGAUAACAUUCGGAAACGAAUGCUAAGACCGGAUA